GCGGGUGUAGCACAGUGGUAGUGCAGGAGCCUUCCAAGCUUCUGACGUGAGUUCGAUUCUCAUCACCCGCU
rnacentral:tRNA from 1 species